rnacentral:rRNA from 1 species
AGCACUUGGCGGAUGCCUUGGCUCUCGGAGGCGAUGAAGGACGUGGUAAGCUGCGAUAAGCUUCGGUAAGGUGCAAACGACCAUUAUAACCGUAGAUUUCCGAAUGGGGCAACCCGAUAUCUUGAAGAGAUAUCGUACGAUAGUACGCUAACCCAGGGAACUGAAACAUCUAAGUACCUGGAGGAAAAGAAAACAAAAGUGAUUCCCUAAGUAGUGGCGAGCGAACAGGGAAUAGCCUAAACCACAACGAUUUCGGUCGUUGCGGGGUUGUAGGGCCACAACGUGAAUAUAUUAUCUAAAGCAGAAGAAUUCUGGAAAGUUUUACCAUAGUGAGUGAUAGUCUCGUAUGCGUACAGUUAAUAUAAUCUAGUGGAACCCUGAGUAGUGCGGGACCAGAGAAAUCUUGCAUGAAUCUGCCGGUACCAUCCGGUAAGGCUAAUAACUCCCGACGAGACCGAUAGCGAACUAGUACCGUGAGGAAGGUAGAAAGUAACCCGAACAGGGA